rnacentral:lncRNA from 1 species
ACUUCAGGUAAGCCACUUGGCCAACGAUGAGCUUCACUUCCUGAUAUUGAAAAUGGGGAUAAUAAUAAUAUGCUCCACCUACUCAAUCAGGAUUUUGAAGGUUUAAUAAUGUUAGCAAAUACAAAGGCAGCACAUUAAUUGCAAAACACUGUCAUUUUAUGACUAUUAUCCUUACUAUUAUAUUAUCAAUUUAUUGUAUUUUCUCAGAUCUUUCAAUGUGUGAGGCUGAAACUGCAUUUAUCAAAACACACUCGGCCUUCCCAGGAUCUCCCUAAUCUUCCAACAGUAUCCCAAGCUUCUUCCUCUCUUCUCUGCAGAGCCAGUCCCAGCUCAACAACCAUGAGCUAACGUCCUAAAUCUUCUCGCAGAGGAUAGUCCAGUAGAUUCCAUGACUUGCAUUAAACUCCAUUUCCCUUUUUAUUUUCCAAACUUGUGAAUUUUCUCUUUUUAAUAGUUUUACCCUUAGAGUCUUUAAAAUUCUUCAGCAUCUCCAUACUGCAUGGACUUUUCAGGGCAACAGUAGCAUGAGAUACUCACGAGCAACGAAACGGCUACAGUUUGAUAUUUUGAGUGCAUUCAGAAUAACCAAGAAUGCAUUCAAACCCUACUGCCAUAUAAAAGGAGAAUCCCUUUUCACCUACAAGGAAAGGG